rnacentral:rRNA from 1 species
GACGAACGCUGGCGGCGUGCUUAACACAUGCAAGUCGAACGAGAGCGUAGAGAAAGCUUGCUUUUUCUACAAUCUAGUGGCAAACGGGUAAGUAACGCGUAAACAACCUGCCCUACGGAUGGGGACAACAGCUGGAAACGGCUGCUAAUACCGAAUACGUUCCGAAAGUCGCAUGACUAUCGGAAGAAAGGAUGGCCUCUAUUUAUAAGCUAUCGCCGGAGGAGGGGUUUGCGUCUGAUUAGCUAGUUGGAGGGGUAACGGCCCACCAAGGCGACGAUCAGUAGCCGGUCUGAGAGGAUGAACGGCCACAUUGGAACUGAGACACGGUCCAGACUCCUACGGGAGGCAGCAGUGGGGAAUCUUCCGCAAUGGGCGAAAGCCUGACGGAGCAACGCCGCGUGAGUGAAGACGGCCUUCGGGUUGUAAAGCUCUGUUAUACGGGACGAAUAAUCUUGUGGUUAAUACCCAUGAGAAGUGACGGUACCGUAAGAGAAAGCCACGGCUAACUACGUG